rnacentral:lncRNA from 1 species
AACCAUGAUUCUGUGGCUUAAGAUUAUUUUCCAUGAGAGGCAGAUAAAUGCUUCUUUUAUCUUUAAAUUCCAGAAACUAUCAGGAGGUGUGGGACUAUCUCCUUGUGGUAACCAAGUCUAUAGCUUUAUUGGGUAAAUAGAUCAAAACAGCUUCUAAAUUUUAUUUUCCAAUUCUAGAAUAGUAACAGUCAAUUAAGGCACACAUUGCAUCUUGCAACAUAAUUACUAUUCUUGAAAAAAGAGGUAAAUGGUUUCUAAACUGUAUGUGAUGCAAACAGAUUCCAUGGCUGCUUAGUUCCCCACCCUUUUGCACUGAACACUUUAAAAUUUGAGUUCUAAAGUCCUUAAAGAAAAAACUCAAAUAUCUCACAGUAGCAUGAAAAAAAAUCAUGCACUUUUUGCAUAACUUGAAGAAUUCUAGAUCUGUUAAUAUUACUGUUUCAAAAUUAUCUUGGUUCCCGUGGACCUGAGCAAACUGCCGAGACAAGACAAACUAUAUCCCUAACAAGUUUUAGGAUGGUGUGGUGUAACCAUCAUCAAUUAAGGGCUCAUUUUGCAGUGGUAUCAUUGGGAGGAAACCUUUUACUGCUAUUUUACAUAAGAAGUCACUGGGAAGGCAUGAAAUUGUUUCUAAAAAAACUAUAAGCGUUCAUAUUUGGAAUCCAUUGUCAUUUCCCUUGAUUCCAAGGCAUUUGCCAAUGAAAUUGAUGUCAUAUUUCUAUUCUUAUGCCUGCCGUGGUAACAAUACUGAAACUGCUCUGAAGGACCCAUAUUUUGUAUUCUCAAGAGAUUUGAGUGGAAUAAAACAUGAAAAUUUAUUUAGUUUUAAAAGUAAAAAAAAAAAAAAAAAAAAAGAACUCCACAGGUUAAAUCUAUAUGCUUACUGCCUGUCAUAAUAAACAUUUUCUGUAUGGCAUUCUUUGAGAACAUAAGUGGUUGAAGCCUUUAAAAAAUGAUCAGACAAUUGUCUAAUUAGGAAGUGGAGAAGAGAACAUUAUUUGUUUUACUUACAGUCUAGAAAAAUAAUACUUCACGUGAAAGCAAAACUUACUCUGAAUGAUCUGUUGUGUCAGUAACUGGCAAAUUUUUAAAAUGAAGACAAUUAUGUGUAAAUGUAAAUACAGACUAUCUAUCAUUGACCAUUUUCUGGUGAUAGAAUCUGCAAACUGCUUCUCUCUGAAGAUAAUCCUUCUAGGCUAGUGUGUAAGCUAGUAACAGUAAUCAAAAUGCAUAUUUGAUUACCUCAUUGGCUCUCAGAAUCCUGGCAUACUCUUCUAGUAGAAAGGCCUAUUGUUUGUAAAAGGUCAUUGGUUAGAUUGGCUUUGAGCCCAAUAUUGUUUAUUUAUGUAAGUAUUGGAGCACAUAUGACCUAUCACCUUGAAACCUAGGGUUGGACAAUGAAUGACAGAAGUCAACUGCUAUGCAAAGAACUAAAAAGAGGUCCAUCUUCUUGCAUAUGCUAGGAGCUGGCAGCCUUGCAGGAAUAGUUCUGAAUUGUCAUUCCUAACCCCUUUUCAAAGGCAGGGGUAUUUUACAGUCUUGGACUUACUGCCACAGAUCACAUUAGGUUUGCAUAAUCUAAGCUGCUUGUGAGGGAGACUGACCACAGUAUCAGGACAAAAUGCUAUAAUUCACCCUACAUGAAGAGUAUAAAGCAAAUUCCCAAUUCAGCAAAGCAUGCAGUUCACCACUGUGAGUUCUAAAUCAGCAUCUCUUUAUGUUUUUUAGUGUCAUGCAAUGUUCUUGAAAUAAUAAAUAUUCCCUAACUUUUCAAAAGUUUGGUUUCAGACAUUUGUUUGCAAAUCGGUUCAGAAUUCAGAGCAUAAGUUUUACUUUAAAACAUGGUUAAAAUAUGCCAGUAAACACCAGUGCUUAUUAGAGCUAAUAUUGCCAAAAUAUUGCAAGGCUUAAACUGUCUUUUUCACUAGUAAACAAAACUAGGAUAGAAUAAAGCACGAUUAGAAUUAGUUUUAUUUUUAUCUUGGUCACUUGUGUCUAAGGAAAAGAAGCUUUAAUUAGAGAAAGAUGUGGCAGAAAAUGGGGACUUCUCAGUACUUGAAGGACUUUAAAAGGAUGAAGACCUUAAUGAUGUCAAGCCUAAUGAUGGGGAUGGUUCACCUUUCCUUGAUACAAAUGCAUUGUUAACCAUGCUCUAAUGCUUAUCGAUAAUGAUUAGUAUUGUUCUUUGGGCUCACAAUGGUGCAUAAACAGAAGGCUUGAGAGCAUAAGGGAUAAACAUGUUUUUGAAGAAAUGAGCAAGGAUUAAAAGUGUUGGAAAGAGAAAAGAGAGUUAAAGAGAUAUAAGUGUAUAUAUGAAAAAGAUUUACCAGGAUAGAAUUUAUGAUGAUUUCAAGGUUGAAGUACAAGGAAAAAUUAUCUAACCUAUCACUUCCUUGCCUGCAGGGAGAGAAAGAAGGGAAUGGGGCAGAGGCUUGGUGUUUAAGGGCUCCCUGUUACUAUUACUCUGGGUGAUAUUAUAGCUUGAUAGUCACCUGAUUUAGGCAAAGGAACAGGGGGCAGCAAGGAAGAAAGGUGGGAAGCCACUGGCCAGCUUUAUAAACAGGGCCUUUGUAGCUCAAGAAUGAUUAAAAUUUUUUAAUAUUAUACCAUUAAAAAGAUAUUAUUUAUGAAAUCAUAACAAGUGCAGCUUUGUGUUGUGUACUUCCUACCUUCCAGGCACUGUUAGUCCCCUUAUAAUCAUUAUCUCAUUUAACCCUAUUAAUCUUAAGAGGAGGAUAUAGUUGCCCCCAUUUUCCAGAAAAAGAAACAGAAGUUAUGUAAAAUUAAGUAUUUUGUCCAAGGGAGCAGAGCUGUUAACUGGUGGCUCUGGAACUUGAGCCCUGAGCUGGCUGCACUGACCCAAUGCUCUUGUCUGGAAUGAGAUGUGGUCCCUCUCCUAUCUAUGUUGAAAUAUCAUUUCAUUAAAAUAAAGGAAAAAAUGUAAGCUUAGCACAGUGCUGAGUGCAAAUUAAAUAUUCACUAAAUAUUGUGAUUAUUUUCUACCUAAGUAACACAUUGCUUGUUAAAUACCAACAUGGCCCAUAUUGGGUCUUGGCAUUCACUCUUGAUUUUUACUUCUUUCUGCAUUUUGGCAGUUUUCCUCUGCCUUUCAGACAUCUCACUGCUAUGUAGUUCUAUCUUCUUGGAAACCCACUGAUGUCCCUUUUAUGUAUUUGCCAGCCUACCAGCUCUGUGAAAGGAAGGGACUGUUCUGGUACGUGGUAGGCAAUCUUAAAAUGUUUAUUGGAUCAAAUCAUUUAAUCCAAAAACUGAAUCAUUUACUUUGGGCAGCAGGGGGCAAUAAAAAGUUUAGUUCCACAGACAGACAUCUGUACUUUAGUAUAUUACAAUUAAAAAUUUUGAAGUAAGACUUAAGAAACAUAGGGAAUUUUUAUUUUUUUGUCCAGAGGCUGUGAUAACACAUCCCAUAACUUACCAUUAGGCUUUUCAAUAUAAAUAAUGUAUUUUCAUGUUUACACUAAACUAUCAACAUAAGCAAUUGUAGCAUUACUCUUGCCUAUUAUAGAAGAUACUUCAUUUGAAUUCUUUUGCACACAUAGCACUACACCUCCUUUCCUACAUUAAAAAAUAACAUUACAUUUAGAAAAAGAGUGAGUAUUGUAACCAAGCAAGUUCAUCAUCCUAUUUCUGAGAUUUAUAGCCUCCCUUCUUUGCUCUAACUGUGUAUCUACUCAUGGGUAUAGAAAACAAGAAUAUUUUAUUCUUGUUCUGAUAUGUCCUACUAAUACAUGUUUAUGGAAUAAAAUUGCCAUGGUUAUUAAAAGAGUCUAUGACAUUUUCUAAAGAGUGUGGGUAUUGCCUGCACAGCCUGGCUGAAUUCCAAUUUGGGUAAUUACAUUCUGCGGUCUGGUUACCUUAGCGAUCCUCUCUUUUGCUCUGUGGGUCCUCACGGUGGUUGAGCUCAGCUGAGAUAUUUCUGUUUGCCAUCCCUAGUUUCAAAUAAUAGGAGCUGAAGGGAUCUAGUCUUUAGAAAUGUAUAUUCCAGCUGUUUUAACAAACUUAAAAUUUCAUACACAUUCUGGGGUGUGUAGUAAAGCCUGGCUUUCUAAUCUGAAUUUUCUUGGAAUAGAGUGGGCAGUCUAAUCAGGGAGAAAACUGUGAACCUUGAUUUUUUUUUUUCUGUUUCUGAUCAUAUUUAUUAUUCAUGUGGAAAUUGGAGCAAUUUUCUAAAUCUGUUUAAUCUCUCCUGUCUCUGAACCUUCAUAGCAAUUUACUAGAACUUCUGUUAUUGUUCUUACAGUCUGCCUUGAGGUGGAGCUGCUUGUGGGCUUAUCUUAGACCCAGGAAGAAUGGUAAAUUUCUAGACUAUAGGGACCUCAGUAUUUUUUUUAAUACUGAUGGACACUUUCACAGAAUUGCAUGUCAUAGAUGCAAUACAUCAAUAAAUGCUGGAUGAAUGACAUUCCCUUUGGGUUAACAUUAUUUUCUGUUAAAGACUGAACCUAUGUCUUAGACUCCAGCAGGCAAUUUAUUAUGCAACUUAAUGGAAUUGUUUCAAUUGAAAUAUUUCCUGGUCAUUGGCAGCACUAUACUGUGGCAAGUUGCCCAUAGAGGCAGAUGCUUCCCUCCUUUGUCCCUCCCCAUGCCAAUUUACUCUUAGAAAGCUUAAGUGUCCCAAGCCAGGAUUAUUAUAAGAUUAUUAUUGGGAUCGCAGUCAUAGUUUGCUCUGCACUGGAAGAUUCAAUCUGUUCAAAAAGGGCAGUUCAGAGUAGAGUUCCCAAACUUAGAUCCACUAUACCAAAAAGAAUCAAGUUGUAGCUGUAGCUGCCCCAUCUCUUUGACCCAAGCAUUUUUUUUUUCUCCCAUUCAAGGAAGCAUUAAAAUGCAAAUGCCUUAGAAUGACUUUACUAUAGGUCAAGGUUGAAAUGGCUUUAAGUUUUGAAAUGUAAGUAAUUCACAAAUGACAGUACUUUAAGGACUAAAAUUUUUGGUACACAUCCCUCAGUAGAUCUCCUCAUGUUCAUAUCUUACUUCAGAUUCAGUUUGUUCUCAGGGACCUCUCCUAACUCUAUAAACUUCAUCUUGGGGGAACUACUCAUCCUGUGUUUGGUACUUUAGUAAGAUCAAACUGCUAUUUGUUCCCUGUACAUAAUGGGUGUUUCUUUUGGCCUGGGAUGUCUUCUUACUAGCCCUGUCUGACUGACACUUGUGCACAUUUUAAGAUUCAGCUUAGGUCUCACCAAGAAGAAAAGCCUAGAGGUAGGGUCAGGUCUCCCUCCUCUCUGGUUCUGUAACAGGUAUUAAUCCAUUUUAUGGAUGAGGAAACUGAAGCUAAUAAUUUAAAUGAUAUAACUAAGAUCACUCAGCUAGUGUGUAGCAGAGUUGGGACUCAAACCAAGGUCUUCUGUGUGCUAACACCCAUCUGUUUCCUCUUAUCCUAGUUCCCUUAGUGGUAAUGGUCUGUGCUCUUAGGUCAGUUAUCUAACUUGUCUAUUCAGUUUAUUUAAUAAAAUGACUAGAAAAGAUUUAAGGAUGCUUCUAUGAUUUCAGACAGUUUGGGAACAAGUAAUAUACAAAUUUAAAAGAUACUUUGGAAAACAAUUUUACCUUAGAAAGAAAUAUAUGCUAUUUUAAAUAUGUAAAUAACAAAUUCAGGAUAAUUUUGACCUUUAGAAGAUGUGAGCAGAUGAUGAAAUGGAGGAGAGAUUAAUAGGGACCUUCAAUUUUAGUGGUGACAUUUUAUUUCCUAAGCUAGGGAUAAAUAUAUGGUAGUUUUUAUAUAUUGGGGAUUUUUUGACUAACUGAUAUCAGAAAUAUUUCAUAAUAAACUUUUCCCAAAAAGACUGUAAGGAAACCCACACACAUAAAGAAAUACAUUGGUGCAUAGAAGGUAUUUUGAUAUUACCAUAACCUUAUGUCAGAAAUGUUUUACACUGGACAUUCACAUCCUAGGGGGAUGUUUAAACAUUAUAAGGAACCUGUUUCAUUCCCUCAUAAUCCUAACACUUCCCAUGGUUAGUCCCUUAAAUUGGGGACCAAAAAUCUAUAUGUAUUUCUCUUGGCUGGGGUUGUAGGUUUGGUUGCAGGACUGUAAAGAAAAACUAAGAAAACUAGAACUUUUGAAGAAGUUUCUUUGUUUUUGAGCAAUCUAUUCUGAUGACUAGACAAUUUCAAGUUUCUACUAAUCAAACAAAGGUACAAACGGACAGGACAGCUGCUAGUGAGUCAGAAUCCUUAUGGUGCUGCUCUCACUGACCUAAGCUCACACUGGCAUAAUGCUUUACAGUUUACAAAGCACUUUCAUACAUAAUAGUGUACUAACAGAAAUAGUAUACUAAUAGAAAAAUGCUAAUUGUGUUAAGAGAUUUUUUUCAGUUGAAGAAACCUAGAAUCAAUCAGCUGGUAAAGGCUAGAGCUGGGACUGGAACCCACAUUGCCUACUGCAAAAGCCCAUGAUUGUCUUAGUACUAUAAUAUCUUUCUCUCUAUUUGCAGACCUCCAUCUAGUACUUUUUACUUUGUGAGCAAGUCACUUAUAUAAGAUUGCUAUUACUUUGGUCUUAAUUUUCACCUUUAUUCAAUUUUAGAGGUUUUGACCUCUUUCCUACUGAAAUAAUUAAAUGUGACCAAGACACUUUAGAGGUUACUAAAUAAAUGUCCAUGGGUUUUGAUGAUCCUGACUGUGUAUAUACUUUACCAUGGCUUCUUAUGUUUUUCCUUAUAGUAACAGGGAAGGGAAGUUGACUUUUCCAUUGGUGCUUGGAAAA